ACGAACAUUAGCCUCUUGAUCCCACCGCAAUGGUUGUGAGCCUGUAACCGAUCACAACAAUGUUCUCCACCUGUGACCAGGCACAAACUCGAAGCUCUGCUCCUCUUUUUAUGAAGCGGAGAUGGGCCGAAGGGGCCAAGGGGGAAGAGAAGCCGCGAAGGGGGGAGACUGGGACUGGGAGAGAACUCAGUGAAAACUGAAAAGGCAGAGAACUGGGAGGAGGAAAACUGAGCUUCGACUUGGGAAGGGAGGGAGAGAAGAAUUUUCUGAUUUUCAAGCUUUAGGCUUCAGCAAAAAAAAGGCAGAGAAUGGGGGGAGAGAAGUCGGAGACCUAGAGCCCGGAGACCGGAGCCUGGAGGUUGUCAUUGUCGGCCUGUCGGGAAGGGGGUCGUAGCCUGAGCUUCGACUUCGCAUCGACGCCGAGAAUGGGGGAGACUGGAGAGAAGCCGAGAAGCGAAGAAUGGGAGAAGGGCCAGGGGGGAGACUAGGAGAGAAGCCGAGAAGGG
rnacentral:lncRNA from 1 species